GGGACCAUAGCUCAGUGGUAGAGCAGGCGACUCAUAAUCGCUUGGUCGGGGGUUCGAAUCCCUCUGGUCCCA
rnacentral:tRNA from 2 species